rnacentral:siRNA from 1 species
GGACACGGAAGCUUUGAUGGCGGA